rnacentral:lncRNA from 1 species
GACCUCCACCCCAAUUUGAUGCAGGACGAUACUCCGACGCCUCCUACGCCUUCACGAAUGACUACUAUCAAGAGGCCGAUGCUUUCUUCACUCGUACCGACAACACCCUCCUCGACAUCCAGAACACGCAAGCAGAACAUGGAAGACUCCUGGAAGAGCAACAAAAAUGGAACCAGGACCAUGCCGCUGCGGUACAAGAGCUGAGACAAGAUACAACAACAAUGAACGAUAACAUCACAACCAUGAUGCGGUUCUGGAACAUCGGGUAAGACCCACGUCAACAUCCAGCUUGGGGGAGUUCCUCCCUAAUUUAUCAAGUAAGUUUUUAUUUGCUCUUCUUAUUUAUUCUAUUUUGUCUUAGUAUUUAAUUUAUCUUAAAAGGAAAAAACUUAAAAAACCAAAUAAAUAUUUUCUUACUUUAAUUUACUGCACUUUAUAAACAUGAAAACAAAAUAAAAAGAGUGUGUAGAUAAGUGUGCUUAUUUUUCUGCUAAGCUUAAUCUCUAGAAAAAUAAAAAGACCAAAAAGAUGCAUGAUGAAAAUGAUGGAUAGUUGCUCUGUUUGCUUACUUACAAGUACCUAGCUUUUAUAUUAGAAUUCUUCCAGGAAUUACUAAAACUAAAAAUUACUAUCUUUGGGAAGCAUAAAACUAAAGUCUAGGUAAGCGAAAGGCAUGAUAUAAAGUUGAGCUACUGUUUAUCUUGUUCCUACUACACCAAGUUCUAGAGAUUUAUUUUGAAAACUUACAAAUCACAUGAUGAGUUCCUAGUAUACAAAACUACCUACCACAGCCAUACUUGCUAUAACAUAUUUUGCUAUAUUUACAUUGAGUUUGAUCGAGCUGUGUAGACCCUAAGGAGCUUUUCAUGUGGUUAAAUUAAGAUAUUCACUUGCACACAUCUACCACAGCAUUCAUCGUCAAUCAUUAAAAUUGCUAAAAAUAUUAUCACUCACUGUCCCGAAUAUUGUUAUUCUCUCUCUCUAAAAAGAUUCAAUGCAGAAGAGGCAUGGGUUAUGCAAAAAUAUACGAGGAAAUAAAAAGGGGCAAGUGCCCGGAACCUCGAAAAAGAAAGAAAAAGAGUGAGACGAGAGGUAAAAAUGGACAAGUGUCCGAAGUAGAAUUAGGGGUACAAAGAUGCCCACUUGAGCGGAAAAAAUGGACAAGUGUCCGACAGUAGAAUUAGGGGUAUCUACUACCCACCUGAAAAAAAAGAAGAGAAAGAAAAGAUAGCCCAUGUUCUCCAAAAGUAAAGAUCAAAGAAGAGGAGAGAUAGCAAUAUGAGGAGCAAUGAGAACUAAAUUUUAUUAUCACUUAUGCAUUUUCACCAUCAUUAUCAUUUACUCCAUCACACAUGCACAUCUUGAUUUAAUUAUAUGCUGAGUUCCUUUGGAUCCAUGGCUCGAUUAGACAACAUAUGUAUGAGCUGUUUUCCACUCCUAUGAGCUCCACUUAAAUAUUCUAUUAGCUAUAGGUAAGUGACAUUAUGGUAAGGAUCCACAAAUACCACAUAUAGAGAGACUUGAGAGAUCAUUGCUGGGAACUCUGAGUUUUAUUUUGAAAACUUAUGAAAAACUCUGGAACAAAGGUGAAGUAUAGACAAGAGGGAUAGUGCUUGACUUAACUAUUUUGUCUUUUGAUUACUUAAGAUUUAAGUGCAGGUACUAAACUCCAUAACACUUCACUCUAAUCUGGAAGAAUUUUUAUGUAAAAGCAUGUGUACCUGUCAGGAAAGAAAACAUCGAAGCAACUCCUGAUCCGUCUGAGUUUAGCUGUUUGCUCAGGGACGAGCAAAGGGUAAGCUUGGGUAGCUUGGGGG